GCCGUCAGUGCUAAAGUAUGGAUGGCCGUAUUUACAUCAGCGCAGGUUACAGUUGACUGUAAUUCGUGAGAUGUUCGUUUAAAAUAGGAAAUAUUGGGUAUUUUCGUCUUGAAUAAACCAGCAAUGCUGUGCUUUUAGUUGUACUUACGAAGAGAAGUAGAGAGUGAUGCAGCAAGAAGAAUAAUACGGCUGAUGAACAUCUGCAGAGCAAACUGGCAGAAUACAAAAGCAACUGCGUUGUUAAAACUCACUUCACUCCAGACCAGUUUGAAGCCAACAGAGCUGACGGAGUGGAAAAACUUAAACCAAAUGCUGUGCCAACCAUAUUCUGUUACCGUAAGCCACCAGUGGUACGUAAAGCUACUGCUGAGAGGAAACCUGUUGGCCUACUAGAGAAAUGUACUGAGGAUACAGGUUGGAGAGCCUUCAAAUGUGACCAAUGGCAUCAGUCCUGCAGAGAACAUGGACCCAAUAGAAGAUGAAGUCACCACCCUGAAGAACCGAGUAAAACAGCUUCAUGCUGAAAUUGAAGUUUUAAACUGAAAACUCAACCUCUCUUCUUUUGUGCCUUUUACUAAAGACAACCUCCUUGCCAGUGUGCACGGUUUAUUCGGCGCAGACCAGUUUGCAAUAUUAACAAAGGGGAAACAGUGCAGGAAGGGCCGAAAAUUAGACCAGCUUGUGGUGGUAUAGGGUACAAAGUCCUGCUGGAAAACAAACUUCCAUUUCCUUCAGACAGAACCGUGAGAUGUUCGCUACAGAAUGUAAAAUAUAGGCCUGUUGUGCUGAGGGAGCUCAUAAGUUUGCAGAAAGUCAAGCUUGGGCACAUGUUACCAGGGGAGAAACACCGUGUUCUCGUGAUGGACGAGUUUGGUAUCACUCCAUCAUUCGAAUACGAUUGAAGCAAUGGCUGCAUCAUUGGUAAUGAUACGGCACACCUCCAUCAAAUCUUGCCCUUGCAACAACUACAGCUUCUCAUGCAUUAGUUUUUAUGCUGGGUGGUAUCACCUCAAGAUGGAAACAAAUCAUAGGUUACCAUUACAGGGACUGGUGACCUCAGAUGUUAGGUCCAAUAGUGCUUAGAGCCAUUUUACCAUUACACAUGGCCAUCUUUUUUCCAGUUCUCAUGUCAAAGACAUCAUUAUAAACAUUAUUAGGGAAUCUUAGGCACUCGUACAAUGUUCACUGCAUCGUGUCAGAUACGGCAGGGCAAAAUCGAGCUGAGUGGCGAGAAUUUGGAAUUGUUGUCGAAAGGUUUUCAGAAUUAGUUUCUGCCAGUAUCCUUGUGAUAAUAAUAGGAAACUAAUUUUCCUCACAGAUUCACCACACAUUUUGAAAAAUGAGGAUUCAGUUAGUCAAUGGGCAAUCAGUCUUCCUUUCACAAAAUGUUGUCGAGGAAUGUGAUCUGCCUUGUAAUGAGGUACAUACAAAUCGUGUAUAACAGUGGCUUGAGGUAGACACUGGUUUAAGUCUUAAACUGGUACCAGAACUGUGUGAGGGGUGUCUGAGGCCAAACCAUUACGAGAAAAUGAAAGUUGGCUCGGCUACUGCCAUAAUUAACGGCCAGACUGCAGCAGCCAGUGAGUACGCUGUCAAGACAGAGAAACUGCAGCAAAAUACUUUAACCACAGCACGGUUGCUAAAGCACGUUCGUGAGUGGUCUUGCCUCAUGACAUCCAGAGCUCCAGUUAUGCCUCUGAGUCGUUCUGAUGAACAAACAUACAGUGAGGCUCUCUGCCAUUUUUAGGACACUCUGUGAUUAUUUGAAAACUUGGAAAUUGGCCUGAACAGUGCCUGCAAACCAAUUCAGUCUGGCGUAGUUUUCAUAACUGCCAGUAUUUUGGAAUUUUAGGACACAUUCCUGAAUGAGAAGAAAUUUAAAUUUUUGUUGUCGAGUAGAUUACGAAAGAUCCUUAGAAAAUCUGUUUUCAAUGGUCAGGUUCAAAAGUCCCAUACCGGCACCACAAGAGUAGAAAUUGGCACUGAGGGUUAUUGCUCUUUCGCUGAUCUUUAUUACUGUCACAGAUAAUAAUGAAAAUAAAAUUAAUGGGGGAAUCGCUAAGUGAAGAGGAGGAUAAGUGCUCUGAGGAAGUUGAUGGCCCCCUUUGUAACGCUGUGUGUGAUGGUGAGCACCAGCCUCUCUACCGUUUAUGUGGUCAGACUGUUAGGCAAGUUAUGAAGCGUCACGCACUUUGCAAAUUUUUUGAGGGGAGCCCAAUAGCAUCUAGAGAAAAUGUCUGUACGUCUGUGAACGUGCUUUUACAACUAAAAUCCUUUACAGAGACCUCACUUAUUGAGCCACCGAGUGAGGUUUUGUGUGUAUUUCAAAAGGCAGAGGUGUAGUUGAGAAGCAAACAACAAGAUGUUACUCUCAGGUGAAUUGUUGCUCUCUGAUAUAGCCACUUCCGUGGUUGCAUCAGUGGAGGGGAAAGUAGUUUUCCCAGCCUGCCACAGUGUACAGGAGAAAAUAAUUCAGUUUCCUGGCAACAAGAAUUCAUCUGCUUCUAAGGGAGGGAAAUAAGAUACAAGGUUUAGUGACACAAGGCAGCAGAAGCAGGCCAUGAGGAAAGUAGUGCAGAAACUGUGACUUCCAAAAUCACUUUUUACUAAAUGAUUUGAAAAAUUGACGUACAUUAGCAUGUUGAGACAUAAAAUCUGUGUUAACGAUUUUUCUUUAAAUGUUCUCAUUUUUCUUUUACGUACAGUUAUUUUUAUAUUUUUGUUUUAUGUUUCUUUCUCAGAGUGUGGAGUGCUUUUAUUAUCUCGUGUAAUAUUUGUUACAUUCUGCAAGUAGAGUAUACCCCUGUCAAGGGUUCGAAA